GGAGGCCCCGCUGUUUUCCCUUCGAGAUCUCUGUUCCUCCUUUUCCCUCUUUGCCGUCGGCCCUGCGUGUAGCUCCCGCUGCUCUGACCUUAAAUAGGCCCUAGGGCGGUGGGGGAGAAGAGUUAGAGCUGGGAAAACCCGUGUGCGGCCCUGAAGAGUUCUUGGCCGGUGUAAAGGAUGACUUCACUUUUUUCCCCAUCAGAUCGACAAUGUUGAUGUCGUUUAACACUUGCCAGUUAGUUCUGAUACACCGGCCUUGAAAGGCCCGGCCACGUUCUUGCUCGACCAUGGGAAGACAGCGAUUGAUGCCCUUUCUUUGUUGGUUCGCAGGGUAGCGGGAUCAGAGGGUACAGAAUGGAUUUUGGAGGAGGGGGUCGCUGCUGGGCCUCCAAGGGAAGCCCGUGUAGACAUCUACAACCUGCGGUCUCCUGAUCUCUGGGUAAGCAUUUGUCUGCUAUUGUAGGAAACGCGUGUUCUGAGGAGCCUCUUAGUUUGCUAGGUUAACUUGGAAAAAAUUGAAGACUAACGGUAGCUAGAUUUAUUAAGCAUUUUUUAGCUACUAGGUAUUUUUUAAAGUGUUUUGGAUGCUUUAUUUUCUUAAAAUUCUUAAAAAUGUACCUAAAGGUUGCUGGGGAAGAAACAAAGCUUAAAAAAUAAUUCCCCAAAAUGGAAUGAUCUUUUUAAAGUGAGUAGGUGUUAUUUUUUUGAUGUCAUUUUAAUAUCCCUAAAAGCACGUUUUUGGAUUCUAUUCCUCCAUGUGUUUCUUGAUAAACAGCUUUCCUGUGCCAUUAAAUUUCCAAGUGGAUGGAUUAUGUGGCAUUUUUUCUUUUUAUUUAUUUAUUUUUUUUGUGAGAAAGAUCAGCCCUGAGCUAACAUCCAUGCCAGUCCUCCUCUUUUUGCUGAGGAAGACUGGCCCUGGGCUAACAUCUAUGCCUGUCUUCCUCCACUUCAUAUGUGACGCUGCCACAGCAUGGCCUGACAAGCAGUGCGUCGGUGCGAGCCCAGGAUCGGAACCCGGGCUGGCAGCAGCACAGCGCGUGCCCGUGGCAUUUUUUAAAGGAAAGCCAAAUGUGUGUUUCUGUUGACUUAGCCACUCAAACUAGUUAUCAACUGCCUAACAGUUAAAUUUGUUUGAGUCCAGGAAUAAUGCCUUAAAGACGGGAUGACCUGGGGGACACAUUUUUUUUUAAACUUUGCUGUCCCAGAGUGUUCCUUUAAUUCAGGUUUUUAGUGAUGAUAUCUUGCCUUAAAAUGUAACAUCCUGACACUUGUUCAAAACCCUGCCGUCACUUCUCACCUUAGUGAAAACCAAGCAUUUCCGCACAACUCUUGCCAGCCACUCUGGCUUCUGUCAUGUAAACUCAGAAGGCAGGGGUGUUUGUCUUAGCUGCUAGUUUCAUGUUGCUAACAGUGGGACACAAAAGUGCUUGAAUAUUGAAUGAAUUUGCUGGUAUAGAAGUGGACCAACAAAAUCUUAUUCCUGAUUCAGAGCUCUUUGUCUAGACGCCAAGAGCUUCCUGCUGGCAUACGUGAUGACUGAACUUUUUUCCCCGACAGAUCGACCAUGUUGAUCUAACUUCUCUAAGCCAGUUUCUGUCUGAUAUGCCAGCUUGAGCAGCUCUUCUAUCCCCCACUCCCUUGGGCAUCUAGCUGUUGUGAGCUCACAUGUCAUUGUUUUCAUCUCAGGUUUGCUGUCUGCAGGAAGCAGACUUAUAAUGGGCCAGGAUGAAGCCGGCAGUGCGAAAUGAUUGGUAAGUGAUGUCCACAUGUCUCCUAGGUGUGCCCCUGCCGCUGUGGCUGAAUACACACAGGAUCUGGAGAAUGGAGGAGGUCAGGAACCAUGAGUGCUGCAGGGCAGUAAGUAGGUUGAUUGCAGUGUGAUCUUCCCCUCGGCAUGAUUCAGUCUUUCCUACAACAGGAGUUCCUCAAUAGUGGAGUUGGAAUACAAGGACUCUUGAAAAGGACUGACCCUGUGUUUUCCUGAGAAAGCUGGUUGAAUCAGUCCACGAGGCUAUUGUAUAGCCUGAGGACUGUCUACAGAGUUGAAAACCUAUUCCCAUUCUGAAGAAUCAAGGAUUAUUUUAA